UGCAAGAGCUUCUUAGCAGUUCCUGGUCUGA
rnacentral:piRNA from 2 species